AAAAUCCAACUCUCUUUUUUUGGAGAGUAACAGUCUCGAGUCUCUUAGACUCCGUCGCGGGAGAUCUCAGGUGAGUCCUUCACUCCUCUUUCCUUCUGGCUAUGUGACGACAAUCAGCUUAUUCACAAGUGCCCCUUUAUUCUGGCUUGCAGGACGACUGUCCAGAGUCCUCUCCUUUCCUGGACGUAACAGAUACAAGUGGUAAGUAUUGAGAGUUUGGAUGCACAAUGGAUACCUGCUGCUACUCGUGGCAAACUCCGAGGCGGCCCAGCGGGUUGUACUCCCGGUCGUCCAGAUGCUGGUGGAACUGCACAAGGGCUGCCGGGAUCCAACUAAAACCGUACUGGUAAGUGUACAGGAGGGGGUUUCCGCGGUUUCUGUAUCCUGAGUGACGGGUCGACAUGCAGGUAGAUGCUUCAAAGGGACCCGCUAGAUCUGCACAAGAGCAUACAGGUAAGUGUAACAGGACUGGACACGGACAGUGGACAGAGGGGCCGCUGGCUCUUCACUCGGGGGCACAAGUAAGUCCGUAGGAAAGACAACUGGGGCUUCACUUGAGCAUACAGGCGAGUGUACAACACAAUAUGCUGGCUUUAGCUUUGGGCAUACGCUUACGGUGAAUAUACAGGGAAACAGGAAGUGAUGUAACUCACAGACCUUCGAGGGAAUAGACGUCAGACGUUCCUUUUCUGAGGCUUCUACCAACUGCUGAUAGAGAGGCGGAUCGAAAACUACUGUUGCGUUGGGCCGAACACGGCCUCCGCUGGCGUCACACACAGGUAAGUUGUUUCACCCGGGGUGUACUACACUGGAUGGGUCGAACGCUUCCCUCUUCUUUCUACCAACCGACAAGGCAAGAGAUAUAGACAGGGGCGAACCUUUGAAGAACUCCACAGCAGGUAAUAAUACACGCACAGCUGAUUUCCUCCUACAGCAGCCAACUCCUCACCAUUAAUACUUCCCAAUAGAUCCACACUGUUCUUACUUGAAAUUGUUUCCCACCACCGUCACGUGGGGAAGAAGGGUCAGGAUGUCAUCGACGGCAUAUAAUUGGAGAUGUUUUCUUCGCCCCCCUCGGUACUCACUUCCUUCACAGGAUUUUGUCGGGCCUGAAAGGUGGUUGUUGACAACACAACACAGCACAACACUGCAAUUUUCAAGUGUAUACACUCACAGCAAAGGACAAAGACUCCACGAGACACUCCACACACUCUUGGUGAAUUUAGGGUCAAAACCCCGUCUGACCAAAGACUCGUCCUGGAAAUCGUGGAGACACUGAUGCCACGAAUAUUCAGAUUUAAACGUCGCCGCCACGACACCCCAACGUCCUCUCUCGCUCACUGGUCCCGGCUCACCCACA
ensembl:lncRNA